UGUUUAACUUCGUUGACUCUUCUUUGUUGUCAAAUGCCUCUCUUACAUCUUUCAAACAUGUUAAAGAGGUUAUUAUUAAUUGUUAUCUAAGUUGCUUCUCAAGCUACAAUGUCAGUUUUAAAUACAAUUGAAGAGCAAGCCGUGUUCUGAUGGAUAGAAUUUGAUCUGUAAAAAGUACUCUUUUGUCAUACUUAACAGAUGCACCCUUACGGAGGUACAUCUUUUGUGGCUUAAUAGUUUUGAAGUUGCCAGCAUUUAGAUCUAUUUUACAACUCUUAUCGUUUGGACGGUAUUUUCCUGACUUUUCCCAACAUGUUUUUUUUUUUCACAUUCUAUGAUCUGAAUUUGUCAGAAAUCAGAAAGGAGCAGUCCAUCAAUAUUAAGCUGAAGCAUGACAAGAAAUGUCAAAGAAAAGAGCUUGAGCAGCGAACCAAAGAACUGGCAGAAUGUAGGACCCAGAUUAAUGACUUGGAAAGAAAAAGUUUAAUGGAUCAGAUCGAAGAGCAAAAACUGAAGUUGCCAAGUCAAAAUCCUCCAGGAGAUAUUGAUUUAAAUACUGAGAACACUGAACUGAGAAACCAGUUAAGAGGAAAACAAAGAUGCGCUGCAAUAUUUGGAAAAGCCUGAAUCAUACACUUAACACUUAAAGAGUCCAUCAGUAACCAAGAGCUGCAAGAUGCUCACAAAGAAUCAAUAAGUGGUUUGCGAGAUAUACUGAAUUGUCGCUCAACAUUUACAAUCAAGAGAAUGGGAGAGAUUGAUCUGAAAGCUUUUCAACACGCGUGCUCACUGAAGUUCUCUGAUGGAGAACGGGAGGAGAUGUCUGUUAAACUUUGUUCGUCAUGGCAAGAAUCUUUGAAGAAUCCUCACUGGCAUCCUUUCAAGUGAGUCAUUAUCGAAGGCAA